rnacentral:rRNA from 1 species
GACGAACGCUGGCGGCGUGCUUAACACAUGCAAGUCGAACGGUGAAGCUCCAGCUUGCUGGAGUGGAUCAGUGGCGAACGGGUGAGUAACACGUGAGCAACCUGCCCCUGACUCUGGAAUAAGCGCUGGAAACGGCGUCUAAUACUGGAUACGAGAAGGGUCCGCAUGGGCACUUUCUGGAAAGUUUUUCGGUUGGGGAUGGGCUCGCGGCCUAUCAGCUUGUUGGUGAGGUAAUGGCUCACCAGGGCGACGACGGGUAGCCGGCCUGAGAGGGCGACCGGCCACACUGGGACUGAGACACGGCCCAGACUCCUACGGGAGGCAGCAGUGGGGAAUAUUGCACAAUGGGCGAAAGCCUGAUGCAGCGACGCCGCGUGAGGGAUGACGGCCUUCGGGUUGUAAACCUCUUUCAGCAGGGAAGAAGCGAAAGUGACGGUACCUGCAGAAGAAGCACCGGCUAACUACGUG